rnacentral:tRNA from 1 species
GAGUGUGUAGCUCAGUGGUAGAGCGCGUGCUUAGCAUGCGCAAGGUCUUGAGUUCAAUCCCCAGUACCUCCU